rnacentral:rRNA from 1 species
AGUGAACGCUGGCGGUAGGCCUAACACAUGCAAGUCGAACGGCAGCACAGUAAGAGCUUGCUCUUACGGGUGGCGAGUGGCGGACGGGUGAGGAAUACAUCGGAAUCUACUUUUUCGUGGGGGAUAACGUAGGGAAACUUACGCUAAUACCGCAUACGACCUACGGGUGAAAGCAGGGGAUCUUCGGACCUUGCGCGAUUGAAUGAGCCGAUGUCGGAUUAGCUAGUUGGCGGGGUAAAGGCCCACCAAGGCGACGAUCCGUAGCUGGUCUGAGAGGAUGAUCAGACAAACUGGAACUGAGACACGGUCCAGACUCCUACGGGAGGCAGCAGUGGGGAAGAUUGGACAAUGGGCGCAAGCCUGAUCCAGCCAUACCGAGUGGGUGAAGAAGGCCUUCGGGUUGUAAAGCCCUUUUGUUGGGAAAGAAAAGCAGCAGGUUAAUACCCCGCUGUUCUGACGGUACCCAAAGAAUAAGCACCGGCUAACUUCGUG